UAAAGUAAAAACUUAUGGAGGUCCACACACAUGCAUGGUUCUAAUUCUGAAUACAACGCAUUGAAAUUGUACAUCUUUUUUUCUAUGUCAAUUUAUAUUACCUACAUUGAAGGUAAGGUUUACUAAGAGUCGUACGAAAAUUCAAUCUCAAGUUUGGAACGAGAUGCACGUUAGUAUAUCAUAUAGUUUGGCUUGGCCGGCGCAGAAUAAAGGACUACAAAUUAUAUAUGGUAGUUGGGAGCAAUUGUAUUGUGAUCUUUCUCGAUACUUCUCAAUGUUAGAAGUAACAAACCUCGAAACUGUUACGAAUAUUGAUUUUAUUAGGGUGACGAGUACUACAAGAAUAUUUGUAUGAGCCUUUUGGGCUUUUCGACCCUAGAUUCAUGGCUGGGAGUAUUGCCGCCCAUUACUUAGUAUCGAUGCUACUAAUUAGAACGUAAAAUAUAGAGGCCACACAUUAAUUACCAUAGGUGUUGAUGUCGACAGUGGUUUAUAUCCGCAAGCAUUCGUAAUUUGUGAGGGGGAGAAUAGCUCGAGUUGGGAGUGGUUUCUAAAUUAUCUACGAAGGUACAUAAUACAAUCUCGAGUUAUCACACUCAUUUCAGAUCGUUUUAAAGGACUAGCGAAUCUUGUUGCACUUGUAUUCCCAGCAUCAGAAGAUCAUGCUCAUCAAUGGUGUUUACGACAUAUAAAGGCUAAUAUGAAUAUUUAUUUUAAAGCAAAACAUUUGCUUGAAAAAUUUUAUGCUAUCGGUAGUGUCUCAGAAGAACGAGAAUAUACGCAUUAAAGGACGAAUUGAAGGCUAUGGAUGAAAAUGCUUGGCUUUGGAUUGACAAACUUCACGCCGAUAGGACAUACUGGGCUAAAUCUUUCAAUGGUAGUCAACAAUUCGGUAUUAUAACAACAAACCGAUCGAAAAAUUUAAAUGAGAGGUUAAGUAGAGUUCGUGCCUUGCUAAUUAUAGCUUUUGUAAUGACAAUAUUUUAUUGAGUGGUUGAAUAUUUCCUAAAAUAUCGUGCGGAGGGAGCAAUAAUGUCUAUACAAUUUGUUUCGACUAUUGAUAAGAUCAUCAAUAGUUGGAUGACAUGUGCUAGGGCAUAUACGGUUCGACGAUUUGGAGCUCACGAGUUUGACGUACUUACUAAAAGGAAUUUGCAAUGCAAAGUGAUUAUCAAUGAAAGAGAUUCUACUUAUUCAUAUUUGUGUUUGCAACUCGUGAAAAUUCCUUGUCCUUAUAUUUUAUUAUGUUAUAGUUCCUCACACAUGAACAUAAAUUACUAUGACUUAUGUUCUCAUUUGUAUACUACCAUGUCCUACCAUCAAGCUUGUGAACCAUAGUUCUAUUCGGUUCCCGAUCGUCGUUAUUGGGUCGAGUCAUAUGAUUCACCUCUACUUCUACUACACGAGAGAAGGAAAAAAGGACGAUCCAAAUCUACUCGUAUUGUCAAUGUUAUGAACAAAAGUGCUGGAAAUAGAAAGGGAAAGUAUAGUAUGUGUAAACAAUACGACCAUUAUAAAAGCACAUGUCUUGAAAAUCAACAAAGAAGGACCAAGAGUCGUUAUCGCUUAGUUUGUUUGAUAUGUUGUUUGUUGACUUUUUUUAAUUAUUUUACGUUAGUGCACUGAUAUUAUAUUCUUUUAUUUUUCAUUGAUUUUAAUUGACUAUUUCAGAUAGAUGAUUAUGAGGAGGCAUGACUGAUUGAUACAUCUAUGCUAACUGAACAACCACCGAUUGAUUUUUUUUAAAACAUUUUAAAAUUUUUGGUAAACUAUGUAUUAGUAUAAUGUGGCAUUCAUAAUCAUGCAGGGUUAUUCUUUUAUUCAAUUUGUGAAGUAUGGCCAUAAAUUGAACCAAUGGUAGAUUAAGCAUCCUGCAGUUUUGGAGCUCUUACGACUAGCAGGAUUUUAUUACAUAUCAUGUUUGCGGCGCGUGCAGCUUGAUCAGUCUUUAUUUGGAUCAUUAGUAGAGAGGUAGUGGAGGGAGACGUAGACUUUCCACAUACGACACGAGGACAUGCGACAUGUGGAUGGAUAUAGCUGUUAUUACAAGACUUCGCAUCGAUGGUGGGGCUGUGACCGGAGGGACGUCAAAUCAAUGGCCAUAGCUCUGCGAGUUAUUUCUCGGGGUGGUUUCGGAGGAUAUUAGGGACGGUGAGAUAAAGAUAGAUUAGUUAUACCAUCAUUUUCAUGAUAUCGCCCUAAAUGCACCUCCCACUAUCGUACAAGCUAUAACAUAAGGAUAAUACUAUUUUAGAUAAGGUGUGGUUUGUUGCCAAACCCAAGUGUGCAUAGAGGGCAUUUGAAAUGGUUGCCACUUUUAGAGGACUUUGACGCUUGCGGUGAGUUUGCAUAGGGGGGGAAAGGUGUGACACUAGCUAUUCUCUAUCGAGCAUUAGAAAAUGCUUGCAUGAAGGAGAAUGUGGAGUGUUGUUGUUUUGGGACAUUAUUUUAGGUACUUUCCUUUAACACUAAUUUAAAUCAUGGUUUCUCUUAUAGUUUCUAAGUAGUUUUUCUUAUAGAUUUGGGCUUGGGACCACUUGCACAUUGGUCGACCUAAGAUAGUCGAACUGUAGCCUAAGCUUGUUGAUGUAGGUGAGUAAUUUUCAUAUUAAAUUUUCUAUAAAUUAUUUUAUCAUUACUAAUACGAUAUAAAUGAAUUAGGUGGAAUACCAGGUUUGCUUUUCGGGAUAAUGUCAGAACUACUGACAUUGAGUUUUAUCGUGAUCAGUUUGAUCAGUAGUUAGAGUCCAAUGUAAAUGAAAAUAAUUCGAUCUUACUAUAACUGUAACUUUUUAAAAAAUAAGUAAGUGAUCAUAUAUUCUUUUCACAAUAUAUUACAUGUAGGCCUUAUAAAGAUGCGGUACUAAGACACUACCAUCUUUUAUGUAGCGGGGUCAUAUGUUUGGUGAUCUAGGACUACCUUAGUCUACUUUCACAUCAUUGAGUUGCAUCUUCCAUAUUAGGUGCUUCCGUAAAUUGGUCUUUUGCAACAUAUACCCGAUGCAAUGGUUGUCAUACCUCACAUCACUUUACGAGGUAGAGCAGAUGAGAAUUGGGCGGCAUAUCAUACUGCAUAUAUUCAACAUUGGGAUGAUCGAUUGAUAGACAUAGUAGAGGUGGAACCCCAUGUAGAUCCCGAUCCUAUACAAGCUACUACUGUUUACAUACAGUGAUAUUAGAGGAUCAUCAAAAAGUGGAUAUCUAGGCCAGUAUAGCGUCCACCCCUUGCAUAUCAGCCAUGUGAACAUGUUGAGAGAGCAUUGAUAUAUAUAUAUAUAUAUAUAUAUAUAUAUAUAUAUAUAUAUAUAUAUAUAUAUAUAUAUAUAUAUAUAUAUAUAUUAUAUUAUUAUAUUUAUUUUUAUAUAUAUAUAAAGUUUAGUAUAAUUUUUAUGAUGUUGUUUUCAUUUUAAGUCGAUGUCGUGCAGAGAUCACACUAUACGAUCAAACGUGUCCUACCAGAUAUUUCGUAUGGUGGAGCAUUAGAAGCCCUGACAUAAGUUGUUGAUCAAAUAGAAGCAAGUUUGGAGACUAUGUACACUUCCAGACACUGUACCUCCACGCUAGCAGAACAUGGUGGACCAUCGAUGUCGGGCCAUAUACCACUAUAUAGUUCGCCGAGGACAUCUUCACUGAUAGAGGAGCCAGCUUAUCAUCAAGGCAUAGUACCAGUACCAGAGGAUCCACCUCGACCAGCUGGUAAUGUUUAUAGUAGGUGCCGAUGGCAGUUGCAGUCUCUUCACGCAGAUCAGCCCUCAUUUUCAGCUCCUCCACGGUUAGACAAAGUACCGACACCUGCUGUGGUUGAGCACGAGUUCAGAUGGGUGAUCUAAACGCAAGACACUCAGCUAGUUGUUGAGGGUGUUGCUAUCGAACAUCUCGACCAGUUGGAAGUCAUAGAGCCCUUUGAUGAGCGUGGUGUUGAUCGUGGUCGCGGUUGUGGUAGGCGACGUGUUGGUAGACGUGGUCGAGGGAGAAGGACUUGGAUAAGGAUAUGACAUUACAUUUUGUAAAUUUUAAAUUGUACGGUGCUUUCUAUAUUAUCAAAAAACUUACUCUAUCUUUGGAUAUCUUAUUGUGAUGAUAUGGUAUUGAUAUUCUAUUGAUAAUAUGUUGUUGUAUUGAUGUUGUGUUGGAUUUAUUGUUGUGCUGUUGUAUUAUUGUGUUGGAUUUGUUAUGUUGAAGAGAAUGUUGUCUAGACUGGAGUUCUACUGAACACGAUUAAUUAUUCACCGUAUUUAGACAUGAUGAAUAGUUCACGGUGUCUAUAUACGGUGAAUCAUUCACCGUGUCUGGACACGAUGAAUCAUUCACCGUAUUUAUCGUAUUGUAUAAAAGGUAAGGUGUAUAAGUUAAACAUGGUGAAACCGUUCACUGUGUCCAAACACUUGCGAAUGGUUCAGCGUGUUCAACUUAUUCUAGACCCCUAUUCUAGACCACUACCUACGCUCACAUAGUGCUUGCGUGACGCUUGCGUAGCGGGGAUAGAGUCAAUCUUGCAAAUAUAAAUUUUGUGGGGCCAUUUGUGGGAAUUUUUUUUUUCUGAGGUGGCUAAAUGCAAAAAAAGCCUAAGAAUAAAUUGUUUCCUAUACCAAUGAAUGUUACAUUUAUGCAUCGUGUAUUUGUGAACUUAGUUUUUUAUCUUAGGGGAAACUUCAAAUACCCCCCGUGGUUUCAUACUUUCUCACUUUAGUACCCUAUGGUUUAAAAUGUAUCAAGUUAUCUUGUGUUUUCGCACUUUCUCACUUUAGUACCCUGUGGUUUCAAGUGUAUCAAGUUAGUACCCUAUGGUUUUAUUUUUGUAUCAAGUUAGUACCCUGUGAUUUCAAUUUUUUCUUUUUAUUAUCCAUUUCGGGGUAUAUAAUUUAACGAAAUAUUAAACCACAGGGUACUAAAGUGAGAAAGUGUGAAACCACAGGGUACUAACUUAAUACACUUAAAACCACAUGGUACUAAAGUGAGAAAACGCGAAACCACAGGGUAUUAACUUGAUACACUUUAAACCACAGGAUACUAAAGUGAGAAAGUACGAAACCGUGGGGGGUAUUUGAAGUUUCCCCUUUAUCUUAUAUACGUCAUGUAUUUAUAAACUCAAUAUUUUAUCUUAUAUGUCAACCCAACUGCUUCCUAAUAGUGCCUUGAGGCUAAAGAUGUUGUGUUUUGAGGGCAUCUUUCUUUUUAAUACUAGAGUAAAGAAACCUAUCCUAGUCGAACCAAUAGGUAACACAAGUGAAUUUGCAGAAGAAGCCCAACCCACAAGCAAUAAAAGACCUAGAGUAGAGAAAACUUUGGUGAUGACUUCUGUGUCCUAUUUGUAGAAGACACUCCAUCUUCCUAUAAGCAAGCAAUCCUAUACGCGAGCAAUGAACUUGUAGAUAAAUAUUUUUGGAAAGAGGCCAUUAAUAUGGAGAUACAGUUAAUUAUGUAAAACCAUAAUUGGGAGUUGACAGAAUUACUUUGUUAUAACUUGUAGAUGGAUUUUUAAGAAGAAAUUGAGACCAAAUGAAUCUGUAGAGAAAUAUAAGACUAGAUAAGUAGUACAAGCUUCCACACAAAAGCCCGGUGUAGGCUAUUUUGAUGUGUAUGCACCUGUUGAUUGGAUUACAUGCUAUUAGAAUAUUGAUAGCCUUAACUUCUAUUUAUAACUUGAUUGUUCAUCAACUAGAUGUUAAGAUAACUUUUAGUAAUUUUGAGGAGGAGAUCUAUAUGGAUCGAUUUGAAAGAUUUGUGGUAUGCAAAUUACUUAGAUCUCUAUGUGGUCUUAAGCAAGCUUUUAAGCAGUGGCACUCGAACUUUGAGUCCUUGAGUGUAUCUAAUAGUUUUCAUAUGAAUAUGUCCAAUGAAUAUGUGUAUUCUAUGAAAUAUGAUAGAUGGAAAGUAAUCUUGUAUUUGUAUGUUGAUGACAUCUGAAUCUUUAACACUAAUAUGGAAGUGAUAAAUAAUGUGAAAUAUUUGCUUAAUAAAAACUUUGAUUUGAAAGAUCUUAGGCAAGCAAAUUAAUGUGAUUUUUAACAUGAAGAUAAUUAAAAAUCUGAUGGAAUAGUUAUGUGACGAUCUCAUGUAUGUAGUGAGCAAUUGUUAAAGAAGUUUGGAUAUUUUGAUUUUGAAGUCAUAGUAACACCUUAUGGUCGUAAUGUACACUUUAAAAAGAAUAGAAGUGAUUGUAUAUGUCAGAAUAUGUAUGCCCAAAUUAUAGAAUAUCUAGGAUAACUAGUAUAUUAGAUCAGAUUUAGUUUAUUUUGUAAACGAUCGAGAAGAUACACCUUUAAUCUAAAUAGAGAGAAUUGGAAUACUUAUAAAAAAAGUGUUAAGAUACUUGAAAGAUAUUACAUCUUAUGGACUACAUUCACUAGAUUUUCUGAAAUUUAGAAGGCUAUAGUGAUAAUAAUUGGACUGAUGGUACAGUUGAUGUGAAGCCAAUUAUUGAAUUUUUAUUUUUUUUAGGAGAAAUAAUUAUUUCUUGAAAGUUGACUAAAUAAUCUUUUAUUGCUAGAAGCUGUUGGCUUAAAUCGGCGAGCAUCCUGCCCUGUGGCGGGAGGCCAUGUGGGCCGAGUCAUGUUCAAAAUAGCGUGAGACUGGUUUGGGCCGAGUCAUAUUCGAAGUGGCAUGAGGUUGGUUGGGGGCCGAGUCACAAUCGAGACCCGUGGGCGCUGUAUCUGUCCGCUUGGUUGCGUAUUUCUAACAGCUCGAACUUUGGGAUUAAUGGUUAGCGCCAAAGAUCCGACAAGUGGUAUCAGAGCCAGAGGUCACGAGUUUGAUUCCUGCAUGCCGCAAAUAUGUGUAGAUACUGGAGGGGGAAUUGUUGGCUUAAAUGGGCGAGCAUCUUGCCCUGUGGCGGGAAGCCAUGCAUGUGGGCCGAGUCAUGUUCAAAAUGGCGUGAGGCUGGGUUGGGCUGAGUCAUAUUCGAAGUGGCGUGAGGCUGGUUGGGCCGGGUUACAAUCGAGACCCGUGGGCGCUGUAUCUGUACACUUGGUUGCGUAUUUCAAACAGCUCGAGCUUUUAGAAUUAAUAGUUAGCACCAACGAUCCGACAGAAGCAUCUUGAAAUCUAAGCUUUAGAUACAACCGCGACUAAGUGGACUAGAUAAUUUCUUUAUGAUUUGCCACUAUUAGAGAGACCUUUAGCAGUUAUGUGUAUUCGUUGUGACUGUAGAUCUACAUUUGAUAAGUGCACGCAAAAGAAUGUGAAGAUUAAAAUGAAUAGAUUCAUGAAAGUGAGAUAUGAGUUUGUUUUGCUGAAUAUAAAGGAGAAUGUGUGAUUGCUUUGAAAUUUAUUUAUAUGAUCUGCACAGAAUUAGACUGAUUAGUUCACCAAGGAUUAUCGAGAACCGUGAUCCAAGAAUUGUCGAGGGGGAUAGGUUUAAGCCAGCAAUAAAGUUACCAGUGAUGGCAACCUAAUCUCUGAAAGGUUUAGUAGAUAGAAACAAAUUGGAUAGGAAGGUAUGACAAGCACGUUUUAUGCAUACGUAUAGCAAUAGUGCUCAUAUCUGCAUGCAGGUAAGAAGGGCAUUAACCCUAAAGUUUCAAGACUCACAAUGCUGGGAAUGACAUCUCAAACAGUCUUAUGAGGAACUAGUAUGCGUGUGAAGUUUUGAGGCUGUGACUAUGAAAAGAGGGUUAUUCCCAAAAACACGCAUAUGUGGAGUGAUACUAGCCCAUAGCCAUAAGAAGGCUAAUCCACAUAGAACCUUGACGAGGUUGUACCAUGUGUGUGGUUUAUGAAAUCUGAUUCAUCAGUCAUGAUUUAAGCCAUAGUGCACUAUUUACCCUUGGAUGUACGCAGAGAUGCACUAAGUGGAGGUUCCAAAAAGUUGCUUUGCCGAACAUGUGGUAUAAGGGAAGGAUCCAGCACCUUAUUCGUUUACUUUGUAUUUUGAUAUUAUGUUGUUUUCCUUUUAUUUAAAAAUUUAAAUCCCAUGUGAAGAUUUAGAAAUUUACUAUUUAUUUUGUGAUCUAAAGCUUUAAUUGGGGGCAAGGACCUCCUGAGUCACCUAAUAUCUAAUAAGCUUUAUUUGGGAUUACUAGUACUCCAAAUACUACUCUAAAAUUAGUCGAAGAUGGAAUAAGAGAAGUAAUUACUUGUUAUGUACGUAUUCCAUUAUCUCUUAGUCGCUUUCUUAGAGAACGGUGCGUGUGCAGUCGCUCACAUACACUUAAUCUUUAUUUUUCAUAGCUGUUUUAAUACUUUUGUUCAAAUAUUUUUGCUUACCUACUAUUCACCUUCCAAGUAUUUAUUAGAGGCUCUAUGGAUAAUGAUACAAUAUUAUUCCUUUUAAGAGGUUGGUCUUUAAUGGCUACGUACUAGCCUGCUGGUUUUAAUUCUCCUCUUACUUUAUACGAGGGAUAUGGUGAUUAGAGUACUUUUUUACACCGAAGCUUAAAUCUUCCUCUCUUACUAUUUUUUUCUUAUUUAUUGGAUAUCUAAGGGCUCAUUUAGUUCAUCUUUUGCUAUCUUGGAGAUGUGUUGACGGGAUAGCUAGUAGUUUAUUCAUUAUACUCGUUGUAUCACUAGAAGUGAUUGUCAAAGCUUCAUAGGUGGAGAAGUAAUCUUACUUUUAGGAUGGUACAUCGCUUGUCUGGACCCACUAACCAAAUCUAAACUUAUGCUCCCUAUUACUGACUGUUUAAUACAAACUACUUGCUACUUUUUUUUUUUUUUUUUUUUUUUUUUUUUUUUUUUUUGAGAGAUAGGUUGCACGCUACCCGCUUCGUUUAUUUCAUUUAGAAAUAAACUUAGCUGGAAAUGUGAAUCAAUUAGGAUUCGAACUAGAAUCUCGGAUACUAACCACCAAGCCUUUUGCCACUUGCUCUAGAGACGGUCGGUAACUACUUGCUACUUAAUAGAAUUUGUUCACUGCUGAGUACCACACACGCUGCUUACACUGCUUAAUAUAAUUUAUUCACUACUUAAUAUUGAACAAUUUAUUGCUUAAUGAGAAAUUGUUCACUUAUUUUAUAAGUGUUUUAAAUCUGAGGAGAUUUUUGUAAUUUCAAAAUAUAUUUCUAUUCAAAGAGCAUAAUUAUUUUACACAUUAUAAACUAAACCGUAGUCAAUCUUGGCAUCGACUUUUUCAAGUUUUCGAAAAAAUUUGGUGGUAUGUCUGACAACAUUAACGAUUGUCAAAUGCUCCAAAAAAGAUAGUAAGUGUCGUAUAAGCGUCAUAUAUAGGUCGAGGUCGAUUUGAUUGUAGAUGCAAAUAACAGAGUUGUGGUAGUGAAAUUAGACUUGACGGGGUGGACGAGCAUAUGGAAGAAGAUGUUAGUGAUGGAAGUAAAAAAUGAAAAAUUAGAAAUAACGACGUAACCGAUCCUAAAUAUUGAAGAUCUGAUUAGAGGGGGAAAAAAAUGAGAGACCAAAACGAAAAAUCGCUACCGACGUCAAGUGGUGCAAUUAAUCUUCGUACCCACCUCUGCAGGUGUAGAUGAUCCAAAUUGUGUCCAUGCCGAGCAGAAAUUUGCUGCUGACAUAUGUCUUGACUACAUUAAUUGAGGCUUUUUCAUGUCUUCCUUCAAAAAUUAUUGACGCAAAAUGCAUGGAGACCCUUUCAAUGAUAGGUUAUAUUUUGAAGGAAAUAGAUUCCUCAACUUUUUUUUUUUUUUUUUUUGAAUUUAUAUUUGGUAACUUUUUAUGUUAUGCAAUUAGGAAUCUUAUCCAGAUACCUACUUACGACUGAUAACUUAUAUGAUCUGAUUAAGGGGAAAGAUUAAUACAAGAGCUAACCAUAUAUUUCUUUGCGAGUGAGAGGCAAUAUUAGAGAUAACGAUUCGUUCUACUCAACAGCGGUAAAGGUUACGGAGCACCCCCCGGCAUUUAAAACUCAACGGCCCCUUGUCCGCUUACCCGUGAGGUCCGUGAGGAUAGUAGCUAAUGAAGCGCGAAACGAAAACCACCACCACCACCACCACCUCCACCACCAUUACCAGUACCGACCCCUCUCCAGUGAUGGCCUCCUCCUCUCCCUUCCCCCCUUCCUCCUCCUCCUCUCCUCCCCACCACAUCUCCCCCGUAAGUUCUCUUCGUCCUUUCUAUCUUUCCUUGUUAUUCUUCAUUUUAUCUUAUUAUUUGAGAUUUAUCUUUGAUAAUUAGCGCAAACUGUCACCGCCUCCGACUCUACAGAUCAGCGUCGAGCAAGAAAACAAAGACAACUACAGCAGCAACAGAAGCAACAACGUCCAAGGUGCCACAAGAGAACCAAGAAGCCUCACCGCUGGGCCCCAACACCACCACCACCACCAACCUACUCCUCUCCACCCUUCCUCCAAGAAACCACCCAAACCCACCCCUUCCUCCGCCUCCGCCUCCGCCUCCGCUUCCGCCGGCUCUGUCUCCGUCUCCUGCUCCGGCUGCCGCCCGUCCUCCCGCGACAAGCCCUCAGUCGUGCCCCUCGAUCCCCCUCCUUCUUCCCCCUCCCUCUUCCGCUCCCUCAUCCUCAACCUCUCCGCCGCACCACCCUCUCGUCUCCGCCCGCCGCCACCCUCGCCGCGCGCCGCACCCUCCUCGCGCGCCGCGGCGAGGAGUGGCGCUCGCGCCCGAGUCUCCCGCAAGCUCCUCGCGCCGACCCGUAAGCGCGACGAGGCCCUCCUCAGAGCCUCCCGCUCAAAUAUCCCGUCGCGAGCAUCCAAUACCAAUUCUCCCUCCUCCCUUCCCCUCCCCUCUCCAUUCCAAACCCUUCACUCCGCAUCCGUUUCCCACUCCGCGCUCAUCCCACCGCCUUCCCCGCUCCCUUCCUCCGCUCCAAAACCCUAACCCUAACCGUAACCUAACCCUAAUCUCUCCUCCUCCCCGACUACAUGGGUCCUUCCUCAACCGCGUCCUCUUCUCGGCUUCGAGCUCGACGACGGGGACGGAGAGACGCGGCGCGCCGACGCGCUCGCCCGUGCGCCCCACGGGACGCGUACGAAGCGGUCCGCGCGCUCACUUGGGACCAGGUCUUGAAUAAAGGCACCAAACACUACAGCGAGGGCCUGAGCCGCUUCUGCGACCGCAAAAUGAGCGACGUGGUCGGUUCGGUCGGGUCGAACCGGCCCUGGACCGAGCCGCUUUUGCAGGCCUUCUUUUCAGCGGCCAAAGCCGCAUUUACGGUCCGGCUUAUGGCCCGGUCGGUUCACCCGACCGUCCCGAUUAUACGGGUCGACCGGGGGGCUCGAUUCGACCCCCGGUUCAUGGAGGAUGCAGGUACGGGCCGGGUCGCGCAGGGUCGGGGCGAGCCCGUGAGUGUUAAGAUGAUGGUGGCCCCAGGUUUCCACGUGUACACUGCCGGUCGGUCCGGCGUGGUUAAGUGCCUGGUGCUUUGCUUGUACGGCAGAAGCGGUGGCGGCCACAGCAGCAGCGGCAAUAGUGGCAGUAGUACUAGUAAUAGCAAUAGCAUCAGCACUGUUAGUAACAGCAGUAACAGUAUGAAUAGUAGAGGGAGUAUCGAUAAAAACUCGGGAAGAGACCAUUGACAGAAGAAAUUAUACAACAAGAGAGAUUGCAAUCCCACAGCUUUUUAUUUAAAAAUAAUAAUAAGAUCAGUUUAGAAAAAAGUUGAUCUUUGAAUGAAAAAAAGCUGUGAGAUUACAAUCCAAUUUGGAUAAGUCUAGCAUUGCUGGUAGAAAAUUAACUAUGUAAAAGAUUGAAUAGGGAUUUUUUUUUUUUCCCUCUCUUUUUUAUGGUUUGUUUUGUUUUAUUUGGAUGUGAAUGAGAAUGUUGUUUUACUGUGUGUUUUAUGAUUAGUUCUGAGUGAUUGAAGCUCAUAAUUAAUUUUCACACACAAAUAUUUCUAUUUUAUUUUAAUCGGAAUGUACCUAUAGUUUUGUCGGCCAAUUUGUUGUUUUUGUUUCUAGUUAUUUUUAUGGAAGGAUAGAGAAAAAUGAGAUCCAAAUGAAAUAUGGAUUAGAGAUGGAUUAACGAAAGGGAAAAAAAUAUUUUCAGAAUAUGUAGUCAAAGUAGGGAUAUGAAUGGGCACGGUUAUUCUUGGACAUUUUACUAGAAUGCGAACGCAAUUAAGAUGGUUUUAAUCAAAGUAAAACAUGAUGGUGGAAUUUAUUUAUUUAUUUAUUUUUUUUUUUUUGAGAGAGAUAGGUAGUAUACUUUGUUUAUUUCAUUUAUAAAUAAACUUAGCUGAAAAUGUGAAUUAAUUAGGAUUCGAACUUGGAUCUCGGGUACCAACCACCAAGCCCUUUACCAUUUGCUCUAGGAACGGUCGGUAUGAUGGUGGAAAUGAUCAUCCGAGAAGUAAGAAGCUAUUUAUUUCUCCAUAGUGGUUUCUAUUAUUAUUUUAUAACAUGAGAGGAAAAAAAGAAGUAUUUUCAGAUUUUCUAAACCUUAUGGCUAUAAAAACUGAUGGCUUUAAAUAUAUACACCUCAAUCACAAACUA
rnacentral:lncRNA from 1 species